rnacentral:rRNA from 1 species
UUAAAACUUUCAACAACGGAUCUCUUGGCUCUGCAUCGAUGAAGAACGCAGCGAAAUGCGAUAGGUAAUGUGAAUUGCAGAACUCAGUGAAUCAUCGAAUCUUUGACGCACAUUGCGCCCUCUGCACUCCUCAGGCAUGCCUGUCCGAGCGUC